rnacentral:rRNA from 1 species
AUUGAACGCUGGCGGCAUGCCUUACACAUGCAAGUCGAACGGCAGCACGGGUGCUUGCACCUGGUGGCGAGUGGCGAACGGGUGAGUAAUAUAUCGGAACGUGCCCUAGAGUGGGGGAUAACGUAGCGAAAGUUACGCUAAUACCGCAUACGAUCUACGGAUGAAAGUGGGGGAUCGCAAGACCUCAUGCUCAUGGAGCGGCCGAUAUCUGAUUAGCUAGUUGGUAGGGUAAAAGCCUACCAAGGCGACGAUCAGUAGCUGGUCUGAGAGGACGACCAGCCACACUGGGACUGAGACACGGCCCAGACUCCUACGGGAGGCAGCAGUGGGGAAUUUUGGACAAUGGGGGAAACCCUGAUCCAGCAAUGCCGCGUGUGUGAAGAAGGCCUUCGGGUUGUAAAGCACUUUUGUCAGGAACGAAACGGUGGGGGCUAAUACCUCUUGCUAAUGACGGUACC